GACGAACGCUGGCGGCGCGCCUUACACAUGCAAGUCGAACGGUAACAGGUCUUCGGAUGCUGACGAGUGGCGAACGGGUGAGUAAUACAUCGGAACGUGCCUAGUAGUGGGGGAUAACUACUCGAAAGAGUGGCUAAUACCGCAUGAGAUCUACGGAUGAAAGCAGGGGAUCGCAAGACCUUGUGCUACUAGAGCGGCCGAUGGCAGAUUAGGUAGUUGGUGGGAUAAAAGCUUACCAAGCCGACGAUCUGUAGCUGGUCUGAGAGGACGAUCAGCCACACUGGGACUGAGACACGGCCCAGACUCCUACGGGAGGCAGCAGUGGGGAAUUUUGGACAAUGGGCGCAAGCCUGAUCCAGCAAUGCCGCGUGCAGGAUGAAGGCCUUCGGGUUGUAAACUGCUUUUGUACGGAACGAAAAGCUCUGGGUUAAUACCCUGGGGUCAUGACGGUACCGUAAGAAUAAGCACCGGCUAACUCUGUGCCAGCAGCCGCCGUAACAC
rnacentral:rRNA from 1 species